UACAGAGGGUGCGAGCGUUAAUCGGAAUUACUGGGCGUAAAGCGCGCGUAGGCGGCUUUGCAAGUCGGGUGUGAAAUCCCCAGGCUUAACCUGGGAACUGCAUUCGAGACUGCAUUGCUAGAGUAUGGGAGAGGGAAGUGGAAUUUCCGGUGUAGCGGUGAAAUGCGUAGAUAUCGGAAGGAACACCGGUGGCGAAGGCGGGUCUCUGGGCAAUUCCUGACGCUGAGGCGCGAAAGCGUGGGGAGCAAACGGG
rnacentral:rRNA from 1 species